GUAUCUGCUUUUUUUCUUGACGCUCAAAGUGAUGGAACCCCUUCACUUCCAUUUUAUGAAUCACCAAGGGCCAUGGAUUCAGUAACCUACAUUUUAAAUGGCCUGAGGACCUCACUGACAUGAAGUGUGUUGCCAUAAGAGGGAUUCCUGUAAUACCUGAUCACCCUUCUUUGAAGAACUUCAUGAAGUUCUUCAAAGCAUGCUUUGCUUCUGAUGAUGAGGAGUCACACCAAAACGUUCCAGUUGGAAUCCGCGAAAGCGAAGAUGUUGCACAGCAUCCCGUCUUUCUCCUCCAUCUAGCCCCUGUAAGGAAUCGUCUCAGAGG